UUAAUUGAAGCCAAAUAGAGGCAAAUUAUUGUUAAUAAUUAAAUUGAAUUAUUAUUUUUCCAAUUAAA
rnacentral:tRNA from 1 species